rnacentral:lncRNA from 1 species
UACAGCGUCUAACUUUUAGCAGAGAGGCAGUGCUGAGUAGAAACUGGACUUGCUAAUCAUAUCAAGUCACUUAAGUUGGCUAGAACCCCCUACUUAGGUAGCAGCCAUAAAGCCCAGGGCAUCCUUGUGUCCUCAAUGCUUCACUUCUGAGUGGUGGGCUUCCUGCCCCUCAAUAGAGCAAUCAGCAGAAAGGCCCCUAGAAAGCUACAUUGUCUUCAUCCACGAAGGACUCCCUGUCUCCUGUUUCUCAAAGGAGCAUCCGAAUUCUACUUUCAUUCCUCUUUUACCAUUGCAUUUUAUAACUUAAAAGAAAUAGAUGAUUGUAACAGAAUAAAGAAAACUUUACAUUGUGAGAAAAUUUAGACCUAAAGCAUAUAGUAAUAAGAGGACGAAAGUCUAUACUGUUUAAGUAAACAGGUUCUGUGAGGCUAACAUCACACAGUGGUAUUUUGAAUUAAAUUGUACUUGUGUUUCGUUUCCGUGUUUUGCUGCUGUAAGAGGAAAGCAUCCCCUUUCUCGGCCCGCCUCCCACCUCCAGGCUAAUUUGCAGCAUUUCUACAUCUCAGAGUCCACCCUUAAGAUCCUUGUCAACCAUUGUUUUGUUGCAGAACGCUUAAUCCAUCAAGGAAGGUUAAAUUGGAUUAUCCCAGUAGGGAAGGGAUGGGGGCUUUGAGCAUGAGGGAUUCUCCCUGUAAAGGGCUGGUGGUGGUGGGGUGUGUGUGUGUGUGUGUGUGUGUGUGUCCUGCUAGUGUUGAAUGAUGGAGACCUUAGUCUGGAUUCUGAAUCCAGGUGUACUGGAUAGCGCUCCGGCGUAGAAAGGGUUAAAGAUGCCCCCAGUCGGGUAGAGCAGACUGGGAGUUGCGCACGGUCUCAAACGCCUUAAAGCCGCUCCUCACAUUGAAGAUAAGUAAAUCAUAGUUCGUAAAUCAGAAAGAUUAUCCAGUAGUACGUUACUCUGUUUAUUUCCCUUUCGUCAUCCCUGAGUCUUGGGUCAAGUCCAUCCCAGCUGUGUCCUCCAGGAAUCAAGGCAAAUACGCAAACCCCCCGUGGGUUCGCAGCCGUAGGAAGUGCAAACCACGCCCCCGCCACGGCAGCCGCCCCGCGUUAACUGCCUGAGAGAAUCUCUGGCCGGCCAGUUCCGUCCUUGGUGAGGAUUUUCCCUUGCGCGAGAACUUGUGGAACGCCGCCGGGCCAGAAUGCUGAGGCCUCUGACGCCACGAAUAUCGGGCCAAGCAGGGAGUGCUGCUGUUCCUUACAGGGUUUUUGUGAAUGUUAAGUAAGCCAAUUAAAGUCCAAAACACGCAGUCUGGAACAAUACAGCGCUCGAUAAAUUGUCUCCAUUAUUAUCAUUAUCCGUUAGUUACAACUGGGGAUUUAAAAAAAAAAAAAAAAA